UGUGAGCUAAUCUUUACCAUAGGCGUUUUUUAGCCCCCAACUCACACUGGCACUCGAUCCAAGCUAGUAAACAAGUUGAAGCUAAAGCAGAAAAUCAUGGCGUCGUCCCUGACGACAGGAGCAGCACCAGUAGCCGCCGCCGAGUGCACGGUGCCCGCUUCCAUGUUCGCCCCGGAUCGGGGCUUCUCCGCCGCCGCCGCAGACGUCCAUGCAUGCGGGGGAGAGAGCUUCGAGGAUCCCGAGGGCACCGACGAUGUUUUGGAUUUGAGCAACAAGAUGGUCUUGGUGAGUCCGACAGGGGAGCAGUACGACGCGCUGCAGCGACACCUACGAGCGCGGCUCGACGAAGGCUGCGGCGAGACCAUUUUUGUCGUGGGGAUGGGCUCGGACGGCGGCGACUACGGUCUGAGCGACCGCGACACAGAGGCGUCGGUAGCCACCGUGCAAUCGCUGUGUGAGCAAGUGGAGGCCGACCUCAUCCUGCUGAGGGAGCGCACGGAGGUGGGCGGCAAGAUCUGCGACUUCCUCAUCCGCCGCCGCGUGGGCGAGCAGGACUUCCUGGAAGUCAGAGUGGCGGUGGUGGGCAACGUGGACGCCGGCAAGAGCACGCUGCUGGGCGUGCUGACCCACGGCGAGCUGGACAACGGUCGAGGCUUCGCGCGCCAGAAGCUCUUUCGGCACAAGCACGAGAUGGAGAGCGGCAGGACCAGCAGCGUGGGCAACGACAUCCUGGGCUUCGACCACGAGGGACAGGUGGUCAACAAGCCCGACAGCCACGGCGGCAGCCUGGACUGGACCGAGAUCUGCGAAAAGUCCUCCAAGGUGGUCACCUUCAUCGACCUGGCGGGCCACGAGAAGUACCUGAAGACCACCGUCUUCGGCAUGACCGGACACCUGCCCGACUUCUGCAUGCUCAUGGUGGGCAGCAAUGCCGGCAUCGUGGGCAUGACCAAAGAGCACCUGGGUCUGGCGCUAGCGUUAAACGUGCCCGUGUUUGCCGUGGUCACCAAGAUCGACAUGUGUCCGGCCAACAUACUGCAAGAAACCCUGAAAUUACUCCAGCGGCUAUUAAAAUCUCCCGGCUGCAGAAAGAUUCCCGUGUUGGUGCAGAACAAGGACGACGUCAUCGUCACGGCGUCCAACUUCAGCUCGGAGAGGAUGUGUCCCAUCUUCCAGAUCUCCAACGUGACGGGCCAGAACAUCGACCUCCUGAAGAUGUUCCUCAACCUGCUCUCGUCCAGGACCGCUUUUAACGACGACGAGCCCGCCGAGUUCCAAAUCGAUGACACGUAUUCCGUACCGGGCGUGGGCACGGUGGUGUCGGGCACGACGUUACGCGGCGUGAUCCGACUCAACGACACGCUUCUCCUGGGUCCCGACCCGCUGGGCGUUUUCAUCCCUAUCGCCGUCAAGUCCAUCCACCGCAAGAGAAUGCCUGUCAAGGAGGUGCGCGGCGGGCAGACGGCAUCCUUUGCGCUCAAGAAGAUCAAGCGCUCGUCCAUACGCAAGGGCAUGGUGAUGGUGUCCCCCAAACUGAUGCCGCAGGCCACUUGGGAAUUUGAGGCGGAGAUCCUGGUGCUGCACCACCCCACCACCAUAUCCCCGCGCUACCAGGCCAUGGUCCACUGCGGCAGCAUCCGUCAGACCGCCACCAUCUUAAGCAUGAGCAAGGACUGCCUGCGGACCGGCGACAAGGCGGCCGUCCACUUCCGCUUCAUCAAGACGCCCGAGUACCUGCACUGCGAGCACAAGCUGGUGUUCCGGGAGGGCCGCACCAAAGCCGUGGGCACCAUCACCAAGCUCCUGCAGUCGGUCAACACGCAGGCGGCGAAGGCGCAGCAGGCCAAGUUGCUGGCCGGCAAGAAAAUGUACAAGGACGGCACGGAGGAAACGCGGCCGCCCAGUCCUGGCGGUGGCGCUGCUGCUGCGCUUCCGCUCAAAUCAGGAGGCGGAGGACGACGGCGGGGUGGCCAGCGGCACCGAGGGAAAGGAGGCGCCAACGUGCUGGCGACGACAGCGCCCGUGUGCGCCGCGAUGGCGGCGGCGGCGGCGGGCCUCGUUUAGACGCAAAUACGCAGCAGCAUCACUCGUCCAACACAGUAGCACCACAGCCAAAGUCAACGCAAGAAAUCACCAGCAAAGUAUUUCUUCUGCCAAAAUAUGCAUCAAACUUAGUUGUACUACGUUCAUUUUGUCUUCACUUGUAGAUUAUUUUCCUGGUUCUUUGAUCACAGACAAAUGAUUGAGGUUGAAUUCCCUGACAUGUUUCGGCGUGUACUUCAUUCAUCAGCUGAUCAGGACGCAUCACAACGACUACACCAGUGACACUGAUGAAGGCGGGGGUACACAUGUCAGGUCCAUUAAGGCUGACGCUGGACGACAGGGAACCGUUUGACCCGGAGCGAGGGGCUCUUCGGCGAGGCGCCGGCCGUCUGAGGGUGGGGAGGGGGCGGAAGGGCCCGGCGGGUCGAACGCUAAUUGGUUAGCUUGGAGCGGCGCGGCUCCCUGCUAGCAGACAGCUGGUGGGUGGACGCUGAAGACCAAUUAGAGAAACACAGAGUAACCAUCGGAGAAGCCAAGAGAAAAGGAGAAGCCAGAGAAGGCGUUUGUGCCUCGACGCAAGUGUGACAGGUUGCUUGAAAACGCCAGACGAGACGAAAACAAGACGACAGAUCAACGUAUUUGAUCUACCCGAGCUACGCUUCAGCGGCUGUGGUUUCAAACUAGGGGUUGAAUCUAGGGUUAGGGGUUCAAACUAGAGUUUGGGUUCCAAAGUAGGGUUUAAAACGAGGGUUAGGGUUUGACAGCAACAUCCAUGUUUUCACCGGAGACCAUUUUGAGUGUUCAAAGACAUUUUGUUAACCUCCUUUUGAGCACAUUUACUCCAUUUCGUUAACAUCAAAGACAUCAGAACCAUCGAGGAAGUAAACUUUAGAUCCAACUAAAACAUGCUUUGGAGCUUUUAUAGUACUCAAUGAACAUGUUUUCAUUCUCAGGGUUAUCUGACAAAGCCAUGUGAAAUGUAUUUGAUCGACUAAUUGUUUCAGCGUCAUGUCGCUUAGCUGCCAAAUUUGGAGCGCUAAUGAGUGCUGACGCUAUUCUUUGACCCCUGACCCUUGCAAGUGUUGGGAAUCAUGAAAAGACGUUGCAAGCUAGAAUUGGCUAAAACGCUUCAGCGCAGUUUUGUGAAAGCCUGCAAAGCUGUCAUUUAUCUGCGGAUGAGGUUUUUUUUUUUUUUUUUUUUUCCUCUUUCCCAAUCGCAAGCCUUCUCACGGCAAAGAGAGCAGCGUCACCGUGGCAACAGCCUCAGCGUCCUCGCGGCAAAAAGACAAAAGGUGGCAUAAUUGGAACGAUUGUUCCCGUGCAGUUUUGAAGGCUUCUAUUCUUUCGCCUACCGUCACCCUCAUAAGGCGUUUUGUGGACUCGCUAAUUAAGGCUUCAAACAAACGACAAAUGGGACAAAAGCAGACAAAGGAAGAGCUUCUUCGUGUUUGUUUUCAUUCACCCGUUUGUCCCGCAUGCAUGGUUGUGGACGGCCACCAGGGGGCAGCCUCUUGGCUCACCAGUCCUGACCAUUAACGCUUGGCCGCUAAAGGCACAAAACUCACAUGGCGCUUUCAUGGUCCUCCAUUUUGUAUCUGGAAAAGCCUAGGAAAAAGCAAACUCUUUCAGUUUGUGUGCUUGCUGCGGGAAUUUUCACCUUUGGCCGGUUCAGACACAAUGAGGCAGCAUUAGCGUUAGCGCUCGACCCUCCAUCCAAAGGCGA